GUUUUAAUAGUUUAAUAUAAAACACUGGUCUUGUAAACCAAAAUUAAGAAUAGUCUUUUAAAACU
rnacentral:tRNA from 1 species